GAUCUGACUAAAAGAAAGGGAAGCUAAUCAUUACCACAAACACUGAUUUCAUGCUCUCUGCUCUGCAGGCGAGUGCAGAGUGCCGACAGACUAAACAAAUAAGCUUAAGUUUAGUCAGACAGCGAAUCUUAACAGAAAAAGAACCUCGAGCUAAAUUAUAGAUUUAAGCAAAUACAAAGAAAGCAAAACUGAAUGAAAUCGAAUAUGCUCAUCGUGCAAACCAACACACCGCCAUUUAACUGAUAAAACAUUCCAAACUAUCUACCAAACGGCAAACCAAGACAAAAAACGGCCGUAAUUAAGCAACGUUUGGAAAGCAGCAAGCAGAAAAUACACCAACUCAGCCAAUCACCUCACCAUACAAGCGUCGUCGGCGUUCCAAAAUAAAUAUUAAAAACCAAAAAAAAAAAAAAAAUUAUAAUAAUACUCUUAAUAUUCGAAUGAAACAAAAUAUACAGCAAGCAACAACAACUGCAGCAAGAACAAAAUAAAAACAAACAAAACAAUACUUUUCGUUUUGGACUAAAAGUUAAAGGGGGGGCCGUGUUUUUGACGCUGCCAGCGCUGGCGCUAACGUCUUCCCAUUCUAAACACACAAACGUCGUACUCCCUCCCGCAUGAACUCGGUAAAAAAUGGCAAGAGAUCGAUUGCCAGAGUUAAUACAGCGGGCGAAAAGUUGCAACAACAGCUCAUCAAAUGGUGUCACUGAACAGCAGCGCAAAAGUCUGGAAGCUUUAACAAUGCAGCAAAAUACGCCAGUGGAUGACAUCUUGAAUCCGGUAAGUGAAUGAGAAGCAAGAG
rnacentral:sRNA from 1 species